GACGAACGCUGGCGGCGUGCUUAACACAUGCCAGUCGAACGGAAAGGCCCUGCUUUUGUGGGGUGCUCGAGUGGCGAACGGGUGAGUAACACGUGAGUAACCUGCACUUGACUUUGGGAUAACUUCAGGAAACUGGGGCUAAUACCGGAUAGGAGCUCCUGCUGCAUGGUGGGGGUUGGAAAGUUUCGGCGGUUGGGGAUGGACUCGCGGCUUAUCAGCUCGUUGGUGGGGUAGUGGCUUACCAAGGCUUUGACGGGUAGCCGGCCUGGGAGGGUGACCGGCCACAUUGGGACUGAGAUACGGCCCAGACUCCUACGGGAGGCAGCAGUGGGGAAUAUUGCACAAUGGGCGGAAGCCUGAUGCAGCAACGCCGCGUGCGGGAUGACGGCCUUCGGGUUGUAAACCGCUUUCGCCUGUGACGAAGCGUGAGUGACGGUAAUGGGUAAAGAAGCACCGGCUAACUACGUG
rnacentral:rRNA from 1 species